rnacentral:sRNA from 1 species
CUUGAUCAGAACUGCUUUGACUUUCAGAUCAUCCCGGGGAACGUGCGCCUACUCACGUCACCUCGCCGAUAAC